CAAGUAGAGUAGAAUAGUGUAUUGUUUUGCAAUGCUGGGGCUUAAGGAUCUUUUACUUCUCUGCUUGACUGUGUUGACUGCAAGCUGUUUAAGGAUUGGUCAUGCUGCUUUUUCAGGAAUGGGGUUUUCACAUGGCACCAUGCCAACAGAACACCUAAUUUUGGCAAGGUUAUUAUUGGCAGUGGUGUAUCCAAUGAUUCUGCUGAAAGACAAGGAGAACAGUCUAAUGGCUACUGGUCUGCUGAACAAGGCCAAUUCCAAUUGGCUGAGGCUGAGCUGAAACGCCUGGGUCCUUCUGUGCACUGUGGAAAUGAUACUAUGACCCUGCGUGUUCCUGGCCCAAGAAUGCCUCAUUUCCUGGUUGAUGGAGGAGUGGGGUCUCCAGUGCCUGUGUGGAAAUACCCAGCCAGCUGUGGUAUCUCUGUGAAGAGGGUUUGUCGGGAUGUUUCUUUUUCUGUUCAUUUCCGUGGCUUUCCUGUCCGACAACAGAGUGGAAGUUAUAUUCUGUCUCUGAUUUUAUUGGGGGCACCAGUGCAGGCGUCAUGCCCGGCGAGUACAGUGUGAUUGAACAGUGUGACAUUAAUGACUUUGCACCUGCCCAUACUGCCAAAGGUACCAAAAGCUGGUUCAAUGACCAUGGUGGUACUUUACUUGAUUUGCCAUCAAACCCGCCUGACCUGAACCCCACAGAGAAUCGAUGGGGUAUUGUCAAGAGGAAGAGACACCAGACCCAACAAUGCAGAUGACCCGAAGGCUGCUAUCACAGCAACCUGGGCUUCCAUUACACCUGAGCAGUGCCACAGUUUAUUGCCUCCAUGCCACGCCACAUUGAUGCAGUAAUUCAUGCAAAAGGAGACCCAACCGAGUGUUGAUUGCAUAGAAAAUAAACAUACUUUUCAGAAUUAACACAAGGGACACGGGACCAGAGAGCGAGCAAUCAAUAAACAAACAUGUCGUUAAAGAUAGUUAAAUAUCGUGACAUCCCUGGUUGUGGAAGAAUACAGCCGCUGCAAAAACCUUCUUUCGGAUUCCGACAUUAGUAAUGCGGAGUUAAAGUUUCUUUUAAAGACGUUCCAGCUCAUGUGGGAAAAACAUGAAGCAUUUGUUUGUUUCAUCUCUAUGAAGAUUUCUCUGUGAACAAGGAGGAGAUCGAUACUGGAUUUGUGGAAUGACUAAAAUUUAAAAGCCAUGCUGUGCCUUCAAUACUGGAUCCGAUAGGAAUGGUGCAGCAAUCUUAUGCGAGUAAAACAUUUUUGUACUAUGCGUCACUAUUGCUUUGUUAGAGAUCGCUUGAUGUGCCUUGAGCACUAUUGCACGAUAUUAGUGUUACCUGGGUACCUCCAGUCAUUUGUAAUAUUUGCAGAGGUUGUCUGUUAUCUUAAGACCAUGCGAAUUGGCAUCUCUGUGAUUUUGGAGGGCUCAUAUAUCAUUUUUCAAGGUUUUAUCCACCGUUUGCGGAUAAUGGAGGCUGCUAUGAAGUGUUUUGGUUUUAUUAAGUUCCCGGGAGUCUUCCGUUUGUUUAUUUAUCAAGGAAACUCAGAAUCUCAAGUAGACCUCAUAUAACAGUAUAAAACAAUAAACAAGCACAGUUCAUGAGUCAUUUAACACAAGUCCUGAACGAUUCAACAUCUUGAAAUAGCAAUUUGGCCUUCUGCAAUUUUCACAUGUGCUGCGAUUUUUGUUAAAGGCAAAAUGUAACAAAAUACCAUUUUAAAUGAAAUAUUGUGGUGCUUGCAGAGAUGCCCUGGCCUACACGUCAUAUUCCACAUACUAACGAAAACACCUUUAUUGGCUCAAAUCCUUGCAAAAUCACACAAUAAUAAUUUUUAUA